AAUUUGAAUCACAUUUACGCUUAAUUAUUUUUUUGAAAGUGUGUGCUAAAUAUAAAUGCUGAAUGAGGGCAAUUCCUUAAAAUAUCGCUUUAUCGAAAUGGAUAUCAUAAAUAUGUAGUUUUAUGAGCCGUAAGUAAAUGAAAUACAGUUUGUGGCGCUGCGGGAACUGCAAAAGAUGCAACAAGCCAUCAACAACAAGCAACAACAAGCAGAGACAACAAGCAGCGACAUCGACAACUGCAAUUUGACGAACGUCAUCAAAAAUUUUACGAUGCUCUUAUGAACGAACCAAAUAAAAAUUAUAUGCCACAUAAAGCUGAUGACUGAUCCCGGCACAGAUACAGUCGACAGCAGAACAGGUAAGCAAAAGUCAAGCAGAAGUCAUUAUCGCCACAACUUGAGUCCCCCUCGGUGUAUGUAAAUGACAUGCCAUCAAUGAGGAUGACCACGAUGAUGACGAUGAUGAUGAUGAUGAUGAUGAUGAUGGCAAUGGCAUUGCAGGUCCAGAGACAGAAGUUGCGACAAUAAAACAGACACAAAAGCCAACAGCGACUGCAACUGCAGCGCUGAUGGAGAGAAAUCAAGAAAUGAAAUAAUAAUAAAUUCUGCACGAACGAUCGAAGAGGAACGUUCAUAACCGAUGAUCACAGCUGCUUAAAUCCUGUUCGCAAAAAGAAGUUGUUAAAAAACCUUUAGAAAUGUUGCUUAAAUAAAAAAUGUCGCUUUCAAAUCUGUGCCAAACAGAUCAAUUUUCAAAAACUGCCAAUGAUGAACUGAUCGAGCCAUUAGCAUUCAAAAUAAAGUCAAUAAGAGGCGAACCAUGAAAUCGAACUGAAAAGUUAUGGACUGAAAUUAACUGCAAAUCGUUAACAAUAAUUCAAAAGGAGCGGAGAAGACAGAAGAGGGGAAGAAGGAGGAGGAGCGGAGUUUGAAGCGAUUCUAGUUUGCAUAGUGCGAGUCGAAGAAACGAGGCGAAGAUGCGAUUUUAUGGGCAUAUUUCACGCCAAGCGCGCCAUCUCCGCCUGUGUCCCACUGACGGUUGUUGUUGUUGUGUUGUGCGGCCCACGACGAAUUCAUAAAGUAUCUCGCACUUUUAAUGAUUUCUGAGUUACAAGCUAGCCGAGUUGGCUUUGGCUAUACCAACUACAACUCCGAUUCGACUAUGACUAUCGAGAGAGGUUGGGCACACGCAGCAGGUACAAUGCAACAAUUUGGCGGCAACUUAUGACAGACACAACGAUCGCAAAUAAAGUCAAAU